rnacentral:rRNA from 1 species
UACGGAGGAUCCGAGCGUUAUCCGGAUUUAUUGGGUUUAAAGGGUGCGUAGGCGGGCAGGAAAGUCCGUGGUGAAAUCUCUGAGCUUAACUCAGAAACUGCCAUGGAUACUAUUUGUCUUGAAUACUGUGGAGGUGAGCGGAAUAUGUCAUGUAGCGGUGAAAUGCUUAGAUAUGACAUAGAACACCAAUUGCGAAGGCAGCUCACUACACAAUUAUUGACGCUGAGGCACGAAAGCGUGGGGAUCAAACAGG